rnacentral:rRNA from 1 species
AUUGAACGCUAGCGGGAUGCUUUACACAUGCAAGUCGAACGAGGGGCGGACGGGUGAGUAAUAUAGCGGAACGCGCCCUGUAGCGGGGGAUAACUACUCGAAAGAGUGGCUUAUACCGCAUACUCGUGGAGCGGCCGAUAUCGGAUUAGCUAGUUGGUGGGGUAAAGGCUCACCAAGGCAACGAUCCGUAGCUGGUUUGAGAGGACGACCAGCCACACUGGGACUGAGCAACGGCCCAGGCUCCUACGGGAGGCAGCAGUGGGGAAUAUUGGACAAUUGGGGAAACCCUGCUCCAGCCAUCCCGCGUGUAUGAGAAGGCCUUCGGGUUGUAAAGUACUUUUGGCAGAGAGGCGGUAUCUGCAGAAUAAGCACCGGCUAACUACGUGCCAGCAGCCGCGGUAAUAC